ACCAUGCGAAGACGGAGGCAGAGACUGAAGUGAUCUAGAGACAAGCCAAGGAAUGCCAAAGAUUGCUGGCAAUCACAAGAAACUGGAAAAGACAAGGAAGGUUCCUUCCUCCCCUCGAGUCUUCAGAGCAAAAGCAUGGCUUCGAUUUCAGACUUCCAGCCUCCAGAACUGUACAGGCCAAUAUCCUACACUCCUCCAGCAGAAGUGCUCUGAAAGAAGGAAGUUGCUAAAGCCUGCAUAAACGAAAGCUCAAUAUCUGAGGACAGAGAACAAAGGCACCGAAGUGUGUGCAGCCAGUGUCCGUAACAACACUCUCGCUCUGAAGGUCACUCUUGGAUGCCACAUCUUUUCUGGGUCUCCAGGGACCGUGAGGGGCUGAUGGCCUGGCUGGACAGCCAAGAACUCCCCUGUUCUGGAAGAAAUGUUUGGCCCACUUCCCUGUACAGACUCCCGGCCACACAGCACUUAGACACCAGCAGCUGCUCCAGUUUUCCUGAGGCUCUAAGGAGACCUGUCUACCCAAUUUAUGAGCUCUUCAAGCUGCAAAAGGCCUCCCCAGACAAGGCUCAAGAACAUAAAUAUCUCCAAAGAUAGGCAAUUCAAGCCCUCUCGGCCUCAGUUGCCAUCUUCCUGGAAACCUCUGCGCCAUGAGAGCCAAGUGGAGGAAGAAGCAAAAGCACAGGCUAAAGAGAAAAAUAAGAAAGAUGGGACACAGGUCCAAGUAAACCACUAGCUUAUGCACCCACGGAAGCCACAGGAGCAGAAAUAAGGAAAGCCAGAGGCCAGGGACACGGGACCUCAGAAGAAAAAAAGGAGCCUCAUGAAAGAAUGCUAAGGUUUCUUUGGGAAACCCAAUAGAUAAAACUCCAUACCGAAAGACUAAGGAUUCUUAACCCAGGGUCCAGGAACAGGCUCAGGAAUCCAACAGGCCCUGACACCUGUUUCCUAAAUGAAUCAGUGAACGUAUGAACUAGUUUACAAGACCUGGGUAUCGUCUCCAGCCAUCAAAAAAGAGACUUAAAUUGUUUCCAACCCCAGCAGCAGGCAGCUGGACUCACUGGGGAAUCAGACACUGGAAGAGGAAGCCUAAAUGCCUCUGAGGCCUCACAGCAAAAAGCCUGACCGAUGUUGAAAAAAGAGGUGGUUCUGCAUAGUGGUAUACACUCGAGAGCUCUUAAGCCACUCCCAGGUCCUCAUCCCAGCUCCCCUCAUUUACCUGCUCUGUCACCUCAGGCACAUCCUUUACCCUCUCUGAACCUACUUCCGUAUCUGGAGAGGAAGAGAAGUCUCCCCUCAUUGUUGCUGAACCCAAGGGAAACCGGCUGGGUGAAAACAAAUAAAUGCUGAUGAAGGAAUUCAAAUUUUUUCAUUUUAUUUUUAUUUUUUUUUUCCAAGAGAGCACCGCAGGAAACAAAAUUUGCAAAGA